rnacentral:rRNA from 1 species
GAGUAACACGUGGAUAACCUGCCUCAAGGCUGGGGAUAACAUUUGGAAACAGAUGCUAAUACCGAAUAAAACUUAGUAUCGCAUGAUAUCAAGUUAAAAGGCGCUACGGCGUCACCUAGAGAUGGAUCCGCGGUGCAUUAGUUAGUUGGUGGGGUAAAGGCUUACCAAGACGAUGAUGCAUAGCCGAGUUGAGAGACUGAUCGGCCACAUUGGGACUGAGACACGGCCCAAACUCCUACGGGAGGCUGCAGUAGGGAAUCUUCCACAAUGGGCGCAAGCCUGAUGGAGCAACGCCGCGUGUGUGAUGAAGGCUUUCGGGUCGUAAAGCACUGUUGUAUGGGAAGAAAUGCUAAAAUAGGGAAUGAUUUUAGUUUGACGGUACCAUACCAGAAAGGGACGGCUAAAUACGUGCCAGCAGCCGCGGUAAUACGUAUGUCCCGAGCGUUAUCCGGAUUUAUUGGGCGUAAAGCGAGCGCAGACGGUUGAUUAAGUCUGAUGUGAAAGCCCGGAGCUCAACUCCGGAAUGGCAUUGGAAACUGGUUAACUUGAGUGUUGUAGAGGUAAGUGGAACUCCAUGUGUAGCGGUGGAAUGCGUAGAUAUAUGGAAGAACACCAGUGGCGAAGGCGGCUUACUGGACAACAACUGACGUUGAGGCUCGAAAGUGUGGGUAGCAAACAGGAUUAGAUACCCUGGUAGUCCACACCGUAAACGAUGAAUACUAGGUGUUAGGAGGUUUCCGCCUCUUAGUGCCGAAGCUAACGCAUUAAGUAUUCCGCCUGGGGAGUACGACCGCAAGGUUGAAACUCAAAGGAAUUGACGGAGAUCGGAAGAGCACAC